AUACCUUUCUCGGCCUUUUGGCUAAGAUCAAGUGUAGUAUCUGUUCUUAUCAGUUUAAUAUCUGAUAUGUGGGCCAUGUGCUCACUUCGAUAUUAAAUUUAUUUUUUGUGGGGAGGGUCCACUACAGUGGCUUGCCACUGGGACCCUUGCGCGUCGCCCAGGCGUUGCACUACAGCCUGGGCCCGGCGCACCCCAA
rfam:Oryza nivara chromosome 11, whole genome shotgun sequence.